rnacentral:rRNA from 1 species
GACAGAGGUGGCUAGCGUUGUUCGGAUUUAUUGGGCGUAAAGAGCGCGUAGGUGGUCUUUUAAGUCGGGGGUGAAAUCCCGGGGCUUAACCCCGGAAUUGCCUUCGAUACUGGAAGACUUGAGUGCGGGAGAGGGUAGUGGAAUUCCCAGUGUAGAGGUGAAAUUCGUAGAUAUUGGGAAGAACACCGGUGGCGAAGGCGGCUACCUGGACCGCAACUGACACUGAGGCGCGAAAGCGUGGGGAGCAAACAGG